AUAAAAUUAUGCAAAAAUUAAUUAAUUCGGUUUUUUUUUGAGGUUAGUUUUGCCUCUACCUAUGGUUCCUACAACGACUGUUGCGUAGGCGAAAACCUUAGCACCAGGCGCUGCUGUUUUUAUUAAUGCGGUCUUGGUCCCAUAAGUUAUUUUGUCAAGGAAUCUUUAUUUCGCUAUUGUGUGCUGAGCGUAGUCUUCAAGGGUCAGAAAAUUCACAAAGAUGCACCACGGACAUUGUCGAGUUCGACCACUGUACUGUUUCGUUUACCCAAGAGCUGAAGAUUGCACCAAAACCGUUUGCAACUAAUUGAUUAAGGCUGGAUAGGAAAAGAAAACUUGAUGUAUGGGUGCCACACGAGAUAAACGGGAUAACGCAAAAAAACCUCAUGGACCAGAUGGAAAUCUGCGAAUCACUGCUACUAUAUGCUCCUCCCAUACGGCAAAACUCGGAACUGUGCUGUCAACAAUUGGAUCUGCUUCCUUCAGACGGUCUAUCGCCCAGAAACGGCCAGCUUUAGCAAAUAGAAGAGGAAUUGUAUUUCAUUAGGGCAACGCCAGGCCAACCCAUACCUGUGUGCUGUUCACCAUGCAUAAUCAAAUGUCAAAAUUGACCAUAAAAAAUGAAGUUUUGCUUGUACAUAUUCUUAUGAGGUAUUGAUAUUUAAUUAGCUAAACAACAAUAAACAAAAUUAUGCUGCAACAACGACAAGAAAUGCAAAGAGAGAGGGAGAAAGAAUCAGUGCUCAAUGCGCGCCGAACAUCGAACGUAACAAACUUAUCAUCAUCCGCGAUAAAACAAAAUGUCGACGCGCUUAGUGGAGAGGAAAAGAAAAGAAAAAAAUCAAAAUAACUAAAAGAAAAUAACAAAAA